CCUACGGGAGGCAGCAGUGAGGAAUAUUGGUCAAUGGACGAGAGUCUGAACCAGCCAAGUAGCGUGAAGGAUGACUGCCCUAUGGGUUGUAAACUUCUUUUAUAUGGGAAUAAAAUGUUCCACGUGUGUGAUUUUGUAUGUACCAUAUGAAUAAGGAUCGGCUAACUCCGUGCCAGCAGCCGCGGUAAUACGGAGGAUCCGAGCGUUAUCCGGAUUUAUUGGGUUUAAAGGGAGCGUAGGUGGAUUGUUAAGUCAGUUGUGAAAGUUUGCGGCUCAACCGUAAAAUUGCAGUUGAAACUGGCAGUCUUGAGUACAGUAGAGGUGGGCGGAAUUCGUGGUGUAGCGGUGAAAUGCGUAGAUAUCACGAAGAACUCCGAUUGCGAAGGCAGUUCACUGGACUGCAACUGACACUGAGGCUCGAAAGUGUGGGUAUCAAACAGGAUUAGAUACCCCAGUAGUC
rnacentral:rRNA from 1 species